UACGUAGGUGGCGAACGUUAUCCGGAAUUAUUGGGCGUAAAGGAUGCGUAGAUGGUGUAGUAAGUUAUCGGUGGCAAAUCGAGGCUCAACCUCGUGGAAGUCGGUAAUACUGCUAUGCUAGAGGAUAGGAGAGGUUAACGGAACUCCCUGUGGAGCGGUGAAAUGCGUAGAUAUAGGGAAGAACACCAAUCAGGCGAAGGCAGUUAACUAUUCUAUUCCUGACAUUGAGGCAUGAAAGCGUGGGGAGCAAAACGG
rnacentral:rRNA from 1 species